AUGGGUUCAGCAGGGAGGUUCCUCGAUGUCCGCCAGGGAGAGCGAAGCAUCGAGGAUUAUGCCUGGCACUUCGUCGGGGCGGCUCGGUUUUCGGCGACAGAGAAGACCUGUCUUAUGGUCUUCUUUUGGGGAGGACUGGCCGAGCCCUUUAAAAUAUUCAUGCCAUACUGGCACCCCGACGAGACGCUGGAGGACUACAUUAACCUGGCUCUGCAGCUGAGUGGCUCAGCCGUCAGGGUGGGGGGGCCGACCCAGGAAGUUCCCGGCGAGGCGGCGGGGCUCGCUUCCGGCUUUCAUGAAGCGGCCGAGCCCGCAGAUGUUCCCUGCGAGGCGGCGGGCGCCGCUCACGACUCACAGAGGCGGCAGUGGCCGCUCGGAAAGAGCCAGAGGCGAAGGUGUCCGCUCACGAUCCCGGUUUUGCCCUGGGUUCCCACUCCACCGGCUCUGCCUCAGUCACCUGGUCCCCCUCCAGCACACGGACCUCUCCUCUGGGUGGGGGGCCGCUGGAACGUCUGGAAUCCGUUCCUUAGAGGGGGGUCCUGUCAUGAGUCCGGACCCGGGGUUUCUCCUUCUCACCACCAGAGGGCGCCACUUCCAUUCUCCCGGACUCAUUACCGUCACUCUGCACACCUGGUUUACUCGACACACCUGUUUCACCCACUCACACGCACACACCUGGUGCCUAUUGUCACGGACUAUAUAGUUUUGUCUCACCCACCACUCUGCCUGGCUGUAUUGUUUAUUGUUAAUUGUUAGUCGAAUUCCGAGGUGUAUGCGUGUUAUCUGUUUCCUUUUUGUUUUUGCCCUGUUGGCCUUUUUGUUCUUAUUAAAGUGAUAAUUUCCCUGCAUUUGGACCCAGACCCUGUUUCUUCCACGGCGCUCUUUACCGCGCCGUGACAAUGUUGUUUACAUUAACUUUAAGAAAAGAAAUAAGACUGUUUGAAAAAGGAACUUUGAUUAUUAAAUUAGUUUUUAAAAGAGGUAAAUUAUCAUUUCAAAUUUAAUAUGGGUUUGAAUAGAUUCAGUCAGAUGGCCAGUUUACAACCAGACGGUGCAUCUUACUCAUCGACUCGGGUCAACUUACCCUCACCCUGGGGCAAACUGAGCCAUGGGAACACUUUUUUAUAAGAAGCCAUAUUUUUAGAACCCUUUGUCAUAGAUACAUCCUGAUCAGUGGUGUAAUGUAACGAAGUAAUAAUACUUUGUUACAGUACUUAAAUAUUUUUUGGGAUUGUCUGUACUUUACUUGAGUUUUUAUAUUUCAGGCAACUUUUACAUUUACUCCACUACAUUUCCUAAUUAAAAUGUAUAAUUUUACUUUGAUACAUUUACCCGAAGCAUAUUCGUUACCUGCUACAAAACAGUCAGAAGAACACGGACUGCAGGAAAGCAGGUUUGAUGAAUCAGUGGUCUGGCAUCUGCAAGUUAGAUUCCUAAAAUCUAGCUCUGCUCACGUGCAAACAAGUGCGUGCACAACCGCGAAUAAUUUCAUUUUCCACUCAAGUCGAGUCUGGGGUGUGCGAUAAUAUGGUAAGUGUUGUUGUAAUGAUGUGCGAUCUGACAUUAUCGAGUAUAUCACCAAAUCACACACAGAGAGUGCAUGCAGUGAUUUAUUAGUCUAUUAAAAUUCAAAAUUCAAGGCAUUCUAAAUUGUACAUGGCAAAAUGCUUCUGUAUGCUUUUUAUUUUUAUAAAAUAAAAAUAUAGUUAACAAUCUAUAUCACACAAUGAG
ensembl:lncRNA